rnacentral:hammerhead_ribozyme from 1 species
AUCCAAUUGAUGAGCUCCAGAUAGGACGAAACGCGCGUCAAACUGGAU